AGUCCCGCACCUCCCCACCUUGCGAGCCCAGCCCGGGCUGCGCUUUCCUUCCGGGGAAAGAGAAAAAGAUCCCGGCUCGGCCGCCUCCUCUUAAAGGGGCAGCACCGCCCCUCCCUCCUCAUCCUCCCUACCCCAGCUCCGCCUUCUCCCCCAAACACCUGUCGGCAACCCCCAAAGGCUUAGAUUUCCCCUCCCCGCCCCUCGCUUCUCCGAGAAAGCGUCGCCUGGGGAGCAAGAUGGAUGUGACGGGCGGGGCCGGGGGUGGGAUUUGUCUGGCCGCUUUCCUGCGGCUGCUGCUGCUGCUGCUGAAAAGGCCAGCCGGGCUGGAGAGACCUGGCAUUGGCGCAUCUGGGAACCGACGUCCGUGCGCGGCUGGCUAGAAUGCUGGACUCGCCUCCGCAGCGCUGUGAGUCCCCAAGAGGUGGCUGGCGGUCUCUGGGAGUUCUUCCUCGCACUCAGGCCCCUCGCUGUCUUUGCCGAGAUUUAUUUCUCCUAUCCACUCACCCUGAUCCGAGCUGAGAUUGGCUCCUCAGCAAAGACAGACAUAUUUAGCAGUGGUAACAACCAAAUGUCGCUAAUUAUAAUUACCAAAAAGCAUUUUUCCCCCUAAGUGCUGCGACUUCUGGUAUCAAAGGCUAAGACUGUCAAUGUAGAAAUGAGUCCGUCCUUCACAGAACGCACUGCGUAGCCGGGAAGCUGAGCCUAGACCGUAUCCAUUUCUCGUCCACUCCUGCCUUCAGGGCCCAGCCCAGCAGAAUCCCAGAGGCUCCCUCUUCCCACCCAAGCUCGAACAGAGUGUUUGGAGACUGGGCUCGGACGUCAGCACCCAUCAGGUGUUUGGUGGGUAGGGCCAGGUGGCAGUAAGUGGGCGGAGACUAAAGGUCUCCUCCACCAAGGAAUCAAAUCGAAAG
rnacentral:lncRNA from 1 species